rnacentral:rRNA from 1 species
GACGAACCGUGCGAACGUUGUUCGGAUUCACUGGGCUUAAAGGGCGCGUAGGCGGACGGUCAAGUCGGGGGUGAAAUCUUUCAGCUUAACUGGAAAAGUGCCUCCGAUACUGAUCGUCUCGAGGGAGGUAGGGGCAUGUGGAACUUCCGGUGGAGCGGUGAAAUGCGUAGAUAUCCGGAGGAACACCAAAGGCGAAGGCAGUGUCCUGGGGAGUACCUGACGCUCAGGUGCGAAAGCCAGGGGAGCGAACGGG